AGCGAACGCUGGCGGCAGGCCUAACACAUGCAAGUCGAACGGAUCCUUCGGGAUUAGUGGCGGACGGGUGAGUAACACGUGGGAACGUGCCCUUUGGUUCGGAACAACUCAGGGAAACUUGAGCUAAUACCGGAUGUGCCCUUCGGGGGAAAGAUUUAUCGCCAUUGGAGCGGCCCGCGUCUGAUUAGCUAGUUGGUGAGGUAACGGCCCACCAAGGCGACGAUCAGUAGCUGGUCUGAGAGGAUGAUCAGCCACACUGGGACUGAGACACGGCCCAGACUCCUACGGGAGGCAGCAGUGGGGAAUCUUGCGAAAUGGGCGAAAGCCUGACGCAGCCAUGCCGCGUGAGUGAUGAAGGUCUUAGGAUUGUAAAAUUCUUUCAGCGGAGACGAUAAUGACGGUACCCGCAGAAGAAGCUCCGGCUAACUUCGUG
rnacentral:rRNA from 1 species